rnacentral:rRNA from 1 species
AUUGAACGCUGGCGGCAGGCCUAACACAUGCAAGUCGAACGAGUGGCGGACGGGUGAGUAAUGUCUGGGAAACUGCCCGAUGGAGGGGGAUAAGUACUGGAAACGGUAGCUAAUACCGCAUACCAUCAGAUGUGCCCAGAUGGGAUUAGCUAGUAGGUGGGGUAACGGCUCACCUAGGCGACGUUCCCUAGCUGGUCUGAGAGGAUGCCCAGCCAGACGGGAUCUGAGAGACGGUCCAGACUCCUACGGGAGGCAGCAGUGGGGAAUAUUGCACAAUGGGGGCAAGCCUGAUGCAGCCAUGCCGCGUGUAUGAAGAAGGCCUGCGGGUGGUAAAGUACUGUCAGCGAGGAGGCGUUACUCGCAGAAGAAGCACCGGCUAACUCCGUGCCAGCAGCCGCGGUAAUUC